AUUGAACGCUGGCGGCAGGCCUAACACAUGCAAGUCGAGCGAGCGGCGGACGGGUGAGUAAUGUAUGGGGAACUGCCCGAUAGAGGGGGAUAACUACUGGAAACGGUAGCUAAUACCGCAUACUAUCGGAUGAACCACGAGGGGAUUAGCUAGUAGGUGGGGUAAAGGCGCACCUAGGCGACGAUCCAUAGCUGGUCUGAGAGGAUGAACGUCCACACUGGAACUGAGACACGGCCCAGACUCCUACGGGAGGCAGCAGUGGGGAAUAUUGCACAAUGGGCGCAAGCCUGAUGCAGCCAUGCCGCGUGUAUGAAGAAGGCCUUAGGGUUGUAAAGUACUUUCAGCGGGGAGGCGUUACUCGCAGAAGAAGCACCGGCUAACUCCGUGCCAGCAGCCGCGGUAAUUC
rnacentral:rRNA from 1 species